rnacentral:lncRNA from 13 species
CACUUCCCUCUUUGUAGACCUUAACAAGUAUUUUGGAAAACUUUUUUUGUAUGUGCAUGUCAGGAAUAAGGAGAACUUGAACCCACGCGCAGUUCUGUCACUUAGCCAGCCGAAUCACCCUGGACAAGCCACCUGGACUCCAGUUUGCCACAUGGUCUAUGUGUUUACUUAAGCUUUUGAAUGAGUAAUAAUAUGGCACCAACAGUUAAAAGUUUUAUAGUGCAAAUUCUGCCUCUCAUCCCCAGCCAUACAAUUCCGCUCUCUAUAGGCAAACAAGAUUAUAGUCCUACCUGCUAUAAGCAAACACACACACACACAUACACACACACACACACAGACAACACACACACAGACAACACACACACAGACACACCGACACACAACAUACACACACAGACAACACACACACAGAGACAACAUACACACAGACAACAUACACAGACAGACAAUGUACACACAGACAACAUACACACACAGACAACAUACACACACAGAAUGUACACACACAAACAUACACACACAAUGUACACACAGACAACAUACACACACAGACAACAUACACACACAGACAACACACACAGACACACACACACAAACACACACAGACAACACACACAGACAACAUACACACACAGACAACAUACACACACACAGACAACACACACAGGCAACACACACACAAACAUACACAGACACACACAGACAACACACACACAGACAACAUACACACACAGACACACACAGACAACACACACACAGACAACAUACACACACAGACACACACAGACAACAUACACACAAACACACACACACACUCUCUCAGCCUUUUUCUCCAUUUUCACAAGCAGUAGCACACCACAGGCACAGCUCAGCACUUUGUGUUCUUCAUCUAAGGUAUCUCAGAGAUCUUCUCAUAUCAGCACCUGGAGAGCUGCCUCAUUCUUCCUUACAGGUGCUUAGUGUUGCAUUGAACAUCGGUCCUCUCCUGUUGCAUACUGAAGCUGCUUCCAGUGUUUUACUAUGCUGCAGUGAUACAUCACUGGGCCUGUGUGUGAGCAGAUCUGUGGCAUAAAGUCCACAAAGUAGAAUUUCCAGGUCAGACAGAAUGAAAGAGAUGGCCUUGAUGAGCAUAUACUAAUUUGAUGUGCAACCUCAGAGAAGGCACUUGACAUGCC